rnacentral:lncRNA from 1 species
ACCAUGUUUUACAAAAAGAAUCUAUGAUAAAAAUGUCAUGCCCAUAGUUUUUUUUUUAAAAAAAAUUAAUAUCCAAGACAAUAUUUGAUCCAAUCUUGCCUUCACUCCAAGACAAUAUCCAAUCCACACUAAUAGCCCGAUCCAAUCCCAAACAAAUCCAUCCUAGCUAUUGGGUUAGGCUUAGAAAGCAAAAUUGAGCUUGGGCUAGGUCUUGCCAUCCUAGCUAACAUGCUCGUAAGCCCCAUGUCUUUCUGCCACAGCCUGCCUCCCUAGGCAGCUUGGAGCUCCGGUCACCACCCCAAGAACACCACAGUCAUUUUCCGGCAUCCUCAUGUUCUUCCCUGUAUCUGACUAGGACAAAUUGAGAACCCUCCGAGUCUUGAUAGAAGAAGGAAGUCUCAAGUUCAAAAAACUAUCGGAUUUGAUUCUCUUGCUGUGUGGUUCCAAGAUUAGGUGCAUGUUACAUCACAAAACUAUCAAAUCCUGUGGAAGAAAAAGUCCAUUUCGAUGCGUGAUAAGUAUAUAUUUUAUCAUAAAUAUUUGACCAAAUCUUCUACUUACAUCAGUUGCUCAACAAAACUUGUUUAUUUCAGAGGGUUAGCAGAGAUUAGGGUAGAAAGUAACGCUAGCAGACAGGAAGAAGAGCUAACCAAACCUUGUACUUACGUGUAGAAUAUCUCCUUGCUAGAACAUAUUUCCGAGAGAUUGCCUGUG